GACACAAUCUACUUGGAUAACUGUGGUAAUUCUAGAGCUAAUACAUGCAUUAAAGCUCUGACCUCACGGGAAGAGUGCAUUUAUUAGAACAAAACCAAGCGGCUUCGGCUGUUUCUGGUUGACUCAUAGUAACUGAGCUGAUCGCAUGGUCUUGCACCGGCGACGUGUCUUUCAAGUAUCUGCCGUAUCAACUUUCGAUGGUAGUGUAUCUGACUACCAUGGUGAUCACGCGUAACGGAGAAUAAGGGUUCGGCUCCGGAGAGUUCGCCUGAGAAAUCGCGAACACAUCUAAGGAAGGCAGCAGGCGCGAAAAUUACCCACUCUCAGCACGAGGAGGUAGUGACGAAAAAUAACGAGACCGUUCUCUUAUGAGGCCGGUCAUCGGAAUGGGUACAAUUUAAACCCUUUAACGAGUAUCUAUGAGAGGGCAAGUCUGGUGCCAGCAGCCGCGGUAAUUCCAGCUCUCAAAGUGCAUAGAAUUAUUGCUGCGGUUAAAAAGCUCGUAGUUGGAUCUGUGCCAUAGGACGUGGUCCACCUUCGGGUGCGUACUACGCUCCUAGGCUUUUUGCUGGUUUUCCCGUCGUAGCCUUCACUGGUUGCGGCGGGUGGCUGGCGAGUUUACUUUGAGAAAAUCAGAGUGCUCAAUACAGGCGUAUCGCUUGAAUGAUUGUGCAUGGAAUAAUAGAAAAGGAUUUCGGUCCUCUUUUAUUGGUUUUGUGGACUGAGAUAAUGGUUAACAGGGACAAACGGGGGCAUUCG
rnacentral:rRNA from 1 species